AACGAACGCUGGCGGCAGGCUUAACACAUGCAAGUCGAGCGCCCCGCAAGGGGAGCGGCAGACGGGUGAGUAACGCGUGGGAACGUACCCUUUGCUACGGAAUAGCUCCGGGAAACUGGAAUUAAUACCGUAUGUGCCCUACGGGGGAAAGAUUUAUCGGCAAAGGAUCGGCCCGCGUUGGAUUAGCUAGUUGGUGGGGUAAUGGCCUACCAAGGCGACGAUCCAUAGCUGGUCUGAGAGGAUGAUCAGCCACACUGGGACUGAGACACGGCCCAGACUCCUACGGGAGGCAGCAGUGGGGAAUAUUGGACAAUGGGGGCAACCCUGAUCCAGCCAUGCCGCGUGAGUGAUGAAGGCCCUAGGGUUAUAAAGCUCUUUCGGCGGGGACAAUAAUGACGGUACCCGUAGAAGAAGCCCCGGCUAACUUCGUGCCAGCCGCCGCCGUAAGAC
rnacentral:rRNA from 1 species